rnacentral:rRNA from 1 species
GGCGCACGGUGAAUGCCUUGGCACUAGGAGCCGAUGAA